rnacentral:lncRNA from 1 species
UUUUUUCUUUCGUUCUAUUACUUUUUUAUGUCUGGUUAUUAUGUCAUUACCAAUUAUGAGAAAUAUUACAUAAACGAUAUUACAGCUGACAAUUUUAUCUCUCUUAUGAGGAUUCAUGUCUGACUACAUCACUCUGAGCCGUCUUGUGAAAUUCAUUUGUGACGGUAUUUUUUGCGUCUUGCUGAAAAUCUUCUGUAAGCACUUUUUCUGAAAAUUAAAACUCAGACCUCUUUAUGUAAAAAUUAUGUCGCCUAAGAUUCGAACCCCAGAUUUAAAUGUACAAACCUUUAAAUAAUGAUCACUAGGGCACUGUGCUUCCAUAUUACUUUUUUUCUAACGCUGAUUUAUUAGGAUAUUACAAUUAUGAGAAAGAUUACAUAGAUGAUUCGACAACCGACAAUACUAUCUGCCUUAUAAGGAUUUAUGCUUAACUGCAUCACCAGAGCUGCCCUACAAAAAUCCACGCCUGACUGGGUUUACUUGCACCAUGUUGAAGAUCUCUUGUAAGCUUUCCUUCGUAGCCUGCAUAAUCCCCUAUAUAUUAUUUGAGAAGCAUUGCAACAUUUUUUUGUAGCCAUGUGUCAUCACUAG